AGUGAACGCUGGCGGUAGGCCUAACACAUGCAAGUCGAACGGCAGCACAGUAAGAGCUUGCUCUUACGGGUGGCGAGUGGCGGACGGGUGAGGCAUACAUCGGAAUCUACUUUUUCGUGGGGGAUAACGUAGGGAAACUUACGCUAAUACCGCAUACGACCUACGGGUGAAAGCAGGGAAUCUUCGGACCUUGCGCGAUUGAAUGAGCCGAUGUCGGCUUAGCUAGUUGGCGGGGUAAAGGCCCACCAAGGCGACGAUCCGUAGCUGGUCUGAGAGGAUGAUCGGCCACACUGGAACUGAGACAGGGUCCAGACUCCUACGGGAGGCAGCAGUGGGGAAUAUUGGACAAUGGGCGCAAGCCUGAUCCAGCCAUACCGCGUGGGUGAAGAAGGCCUUCGGGUUGUAAAGCCCUUUUGUUGGGAAAGAAAAGCAGCAGGUUAAUACCCCGCUGUUCUGACGGUACCCAAAGAAUAAGCACCGGCUAACUUCGUG
rnacentral:rRNA from 1 species